GGUGAACGCUGGCGGCAGGCCUAACACAUGCAAGUCGAGCGCCCCGCAAGGGGAGCGGCAGACGGGAGAGUAACACGUGGGAACGUACCCUUCAGUUCGGAACAACCAAGGGAAACUUUGGCUAAUACCGAAUACGUCCGUAAGGAGAAAGAUUUAUCGCUGAGGGAUCGGCCCGCGUCUGAUUAGCUAGUUGGUGGGGUAAUGGCCCACCAAGGCGACGAUCAGUAGCUGGUCUGAGAGGAUGAUCAGCCUCACUGGGACUGAGACACGGCCCAGACUCCUACGGGAGGCAGCAGUGGGGAAUAUUGGACAAUGGGCGCAAGCCUGAUCCAGCCAUGCCGCGUGGAUGAUGAAGGCCCUAGGGUUGUAAAGUCCUUUCGGCGGGGAAGAUAAUGACGGUACCCGCAGAAGAAGCCCCGGCUAACUUCGUGCCAGCAGCCGCCGUAA
rnacentral:rRNA from 1 species